AAAAACCCCCCUCUAAUGAAACCAACCUAGUGACCUUGAAAAGAGCUUGAAGCUAGCUCUUCGAUCCAAAAAACCCGAUCUGAAAAGAAACCCCCCUAAUGAAAUCAACCUAGUGACCUUGAAAAGAGCUUGAAGCUAGCUCUUCGAUCCAAAAACCCGAUCUGAAAAAAACCCCCCUCUAAUGAAACCAACCUAGUGACCUUGAAAAGAGCUUGAAGCUAGCUCUU
rnacentral:lncRNA from 1 species